UACGGGGGGGGCAAGCGUUGUUCGGAAUUACUGGGCGUAAAGCGCGUGUAGGCGGCUUUUCAAGUCGGACGUGAAAGCCCUCGGCUUAACCGAGGAACUGCCAUCCAGACUGCUUUGCUUGAGGCCGGGAGAGGUGAGUGGAAUUCCCAGUGUAGCGGUGAAAUGCGUAGAUAUUGGGAGGAACACCAGUGGCGAAGGCGGCUCACUGGACCGGUUCUGACGCUGAUGCGCGAAAGCGUGGGGAGCAAACAGG
rnacentral:rRNA from 1 species